UACGGAGGAUGCAAGCGUUAUCCGGAAUGAUUGGGCGUAAAGCGUCCGCAGGUGGCAAUGUAAGUCUGCUGUUAAAGAGUGAGGCUCAACCUCAUAAGAGCAGUGGAAACUACACAGCUAGAGUACGUUCGGGGCAGAGGGAAUUCCUGGUGUAGCGGUGAAAUGCGUAGAGAUCAGGAAGAACACCGGUGGCGAAGGCGCUCUGCUAGGCCGUAACUGACACUGAGGGACGAAAGCUAGGGGAGCGAAUGGG
rnacentral:rRNA from 1 species